UACGGGGGGAGCAAGCGUUGUUCGGAUUUACUGGGCGUAAAGGGCGCGUAGGCGGCCACCGCAAGUCAGUUGUGAAAUCUCUGGGCUUAACCCAGAAAGGUCAACUGAUACUGCGGGGCUAGAGUGCAGAAGGGGCAACUGGAAUUCUCGGUGUAGCGGUGAAAUGCGUAGAUAUCGAGAGGAACACCUGCGGCGAAGGCGGGUUGCUGGGCUGGCACUGACGCUGAAGCGCGAAAGCGAGGGGAGCGAACGGG
rnacentral:rRNA from 1 species